AGGAACAUUACAACUGAGCCAAACUAUUGGUCUUAAGGCCUAGGCCCAGACUUGUCACAAUUGGUUUUCCUUCUCUGGACUAAGUCUGGCCUCUAUUAGACAAACAAAAUGGGACUUGGGGAUCUCUCCCAUGGCCUUAGCCAUUAUCAUGCUUACAAAAAUUCAAUAAUAAACGACUACACAUCUAGGCAGCAGUUGUUUGAAAUCACUGAACCAAGACAUAAUUUACAGUACUCCAAAUAAAAUGAAAACUUUCCAAAAUUACAUCAUAACCUGUUAAUACAUGAAAUAACUAUACGAACACAACUAAUCUCCUACAAGUGUCUUAAUAACCUAAAGAAUGCUUUGCCUCUUUUUGACAUGACUUGUCCAUCAAAGUUGGGCCUCUUCUUGUGUUAGCACUGCAGGAUCCAAAUUUCAGCUUUUGAGCCUACUGAUUUGGUCAACUAGUGACCAAAUCUGCAAGUACUAGCCCCCAAUUAGCUAACAGCUUUGUGGCCAUUAUCAUACCCAAACAACAAAUAAAACAUAGAUAUUUCAGUACAUUAUCAGCUAUUAUAUCUAAUUCUGGGAUUUAAGACAUGCUGAUUUGGCCAACUAAUGGCCAAAUCUACAAGUUAUGGCCUACUUGACUUCAAAAAAAGCAAGCAUUAUACUAAAGUCAUUUAUAAGCAAGAAAAGACAUGGAUAACAGGUUAAAGAGAUAAAGCAAAAGAAAAUCAGUAGAGUGCCUCAUCUUAUGCAUGUCCAGAUUUCGACAUUUUUAAGAAGACUACAUAAUCAAACCCACACAAGUGCUCAUAUCAGUAUAUCUCUAUUUGCAAUCAUGUCAGUUAACUCCAGAAUAUGCUAAUCAACAAACAUAAAGGAAAACAUUCAUUUUGUUACACACAUUCUUGUAAACUUGAUAUUUAUAAUUCAUCAAUCAAACAGUUACAUAGGGAGGAUUUGAAUAAGUACCUUAAAUAGCAAAAGGUCAGCAACUCCUAAGGUAUGAAGGCACUAAAGGCAAGUAGACGGAAGAAAAAGAACCAAAUAAAGGCCCAAAAUCUAAAGAGAAAAUGACCAACUCCAAAACCAACAAUGAACAAAACACAGCAGUAAGCCCCAGACCAAAUGUGGAUAGCUUGGAAACCAAAAAACAGCUAAAGGAAAAUAGGGAAAUCCUCCACUUCAAACCAUAUUUCUAACUUGUUAAGAAUCAGAAAAUGACAGGUUUUGAAGUUUUUUCAAGAUUUCUAGAAUUUGAACUUUUUCAGAAAGAAAAUAGAGCUUUUGUGCAGUAGAAUGAUGCUGGAAAUGUGUCUGUGUGUGAGUGAAUGUUGUUCUUUUUUAUAAAGUGCACAAAAAUGGCAUCAAAAUGGAAUAUUUUGACCUAAAUUCCUAUAUUUCAGAAUAGUACAACAUCUUUUGACAGAUGUAUGCCCUUUUUCUCUUAUCCAAUAUCAGUAUUUGCUAAGAAUAGGGACAAUUGUCCUAAGUUCUAGAACUUUUUGAUUUUAGCCAAAGUAAAGAUCUAACUUUACCCUUUAAGUUACUGUCUAUUUCAGUUCUAUCCCAAACUUUUAGGUUCAAUUGAGUCCCUAAAGUUUCUAUGGAUCUACACACUAAGGCAAACAAAAAAAAUGAGGCUAAUAUCAGUAAUUGAAUUUUAACAACCAACAAGGCUGACUUAAGCAAAUUAAAACAUAAACCUAACUUCUAAAAUGAACCAAAAUUUCACAAUGCUUUUCAGAUUAUCAAUUUUUAAAUGAGCAUAGGCAGAUAGGUUUAAACAAAUGAACAAAACAAAUUGAAUAACACUAAACCUAAGCUAAUUAUGCAUUAAACAAUUGUAUAUAUAUAAAAAUUAAGCAUGCAAUUUCAGUAUACUAGAAGAUGAUUCUGAACAACAACACAACAAAAAAAAGAAGUUAACAACUAAUCAACAGCAAAAAUGAGGCUAUUUCAAGAUUUAAACUACGUGAGUCACUAAUUGAAAGCGGGUUAAUUAAACCCCUAAGAAACUGAUUUUUUAAGCAAGUUCACGGAUUGAAACGGGGACGGCUUCUAACAAUGAAGAACAACAGAUUCUUAUAUGGUGAAAUUUUAAAAUAUGCUGACUAAACUAAUCAUCAGAUGCAAAGACAAAUACACAACACAAUUCUGGCAAGGAAACAAAACUAAACCUCAAACAUGUAACUGAACAUAAAAAAAAGAGAUGAAGAGGAUUCUCAGAAAAUGAAAAGGAAAAACAGGAAGGCAACGAGAUUUACCUAAAAAGAAAAAAAAUCGAAAAAAGGUCUUCAAGCGGCACUGGAUUGAUGCAGGGGUCAAAAUCUCUCAGAAAUGAACCAGAAUUGAUGCUAAUUAGUUGUUCUUACCAAGAACAAUUGACUAGCAUACAUUUCGGGCUAAUUCGAGCCGUGAAACUGAGUAGGCUAGGGUUUUCUGGCUUUUCUUAGAUCUGAAAUUCGGGGAUUUUAGAAAGGAUACUUGGGGAAUCAAGGGUAAGAUAGUGAUGAGGGGAGGUCGAGGACUGUGGGGUGUGAUUUUGGGGUAAUUUGGAGGAGUUAGGGUUUUUGGUUUGAAUCUUAGAUUCUCAAAUUCGAGCCAAACUGAUUGGGUAUUUAGGAUGAAGAGGGGACGAGGAUUCUAUGGUGUAAAAAUAGUGGUGUUUGAAGCACUGGAACCGCCGUAGGGCGAUUUUUGGCGGGUGGUUUGUGGCGGAGGCGGCAUGAGAAUGAGGGCGGCAAGGGUUUUCUUUGGGCACGAAUUAGAGAUACUGAAUGAGGGGGAUUCAAAAGUG
rnacentral:lncRNA from 1 species